rnacentral:rRNA from 1 species
AGCGUACACGGUGGAUGCCCUGGCAGUCAGAGGCGAUGAAGGACGUGCUAAUCUGCGAAAAGCGUCGGUAAGGUGAUAUGAACCGUUAUAACCGGCGAUGUCCGAAUGGGGAAACCCAGUGUGUUCCGACACACUAUCAUUAACUGAAUCCAUAGGUUAAUGAGGCGAACCGGGGGAACUGAAACAUCUAAGUACCCCGAGGAAAAGAAAUCAACCGAGAUUCCCCCAGUAGCGGCGAGCGAACGGGGAGGAGCCCAGAGCCUGAAUCAGUGUGUGUGUUAGUGGAAGCGUCUGGAAAGGCGUGCGAUACAGGGUGACAGCCCCGUACACAAAAAUGCACAUAUUGUGAGCUCGAUGAGUAGGGCGGGACACGUGGUAUCCUGUCUGAAUAUGGGGGGACCAUCCUCCAAGGCUAAAUACUCCUGACUGACCGAUAGUGAACCAGUACCGUGAGGGAAAGGCGAAAAGAACCCCGGCGAGGGGAGUGAAAAAGAACCUGAAACCGUGUACGUACAAGCAGUGGGAGCCCUGAUUUAUCAGGGUGACUGCGUACCUUUUGUAUAAUGGGUCAGCGACUUAUAUUCUGUAGCAAGGUUAACCGAAUAGGGGAGCCGGAGGGAAACCGAGUCUUAACUGGGCGUUAAGUUGCAGGGUAUAGACCCGAAACCCGGUGAUCUAGCCAUGGGCAGGUUGAAGGUUGGGUAACACUAACUGGAGGACCGAACCGACUAAUGUUGAAAAAUUAGCGGAUGACUUGUGGCUGGGGGUGAAAGGCCAAUCAAACCGGGAGAUAGCUGGUUCUCCCCGAAAGCUAUUUAGGUAGCGCCUCGUGAAUUCAUCUCCGGGGGUAGAGCACUGUUUCGGCAAGGGGGUCAUCCCGACUUACCAACCCGAUGCAAACUGCGAAUACCGGAGAAUGUUAUCACGGGAGACACACGGCGGGUGCUAACGUCCGUCGUGAAGAGGGAAACAACCCAGACCGCCAGCUAAGGUCCCAAAGUCAUGGUUAAGUGGGAAACGAUGUGGGAAGGCCCAGACAGCCAGGAUGUUGGCUUAGAAGCAGCCAUCAUUUAAAGAAAGCGUAAUAGCUCACUGGUCGAGUCGGCCUGCGCGGAAGAUGUAACGGGGCUAAACCAUGCACCGAAGCUGCGGCAGCGACGCUGAUGCGUUGUUGGGUAGGGGAGCGUUCUGUAAGCCUGUGAAGGUGUGCUGUGAGGCAUGCUGGAGGUAUCAGAAGUGCGAAUGCUGACAUAAGUAACGAUAAAGCGGGUGAAAAGCCCGCUCGCCGGAAGACCAAGGGUUCCUGUCCAACGUUAAUCGGGGCAGGGUGAGUCGACCCCUAAGGCGAGGCCGAAAGGCGUAGUCGAUGGGAAACAGGUUAAUAUUCCUGUACUUGGUGUUACUGCGAAGGGGGGACGGAGAAGGCUAUGUUGGCCGGGCGACGGUUGUCCCGGUUUAAGCGUGUAGGCUGGUUUUCCAGGCAAAUCCGGAGAAUCAAGGCUGAGGCGUGAUGACGAGGCACUACGGUGCUGAAGCAACAAAUGCCCUGCUUCCAGGAAAAGCCUCUAAGCAUCAGGUAACAUCAAAUCGUACCCCAAACCGACACAGGUGGUCAGGUAGAGAAUACCAAGGCGCUUGAGAGAACUCGGGUGAAGGAACUAGGCAAAAUGGUGCCGUAACUUCGGGAGAAGGCACGCUGAUGGUAGGUGAAGCGACUUGCUCGUGGAGCUGAAAUCAGUCGAAGAUACCAGCUGGCUGCAACUGUUUAUUAAAAACACAGCACUGUGCAAACACGAAAGUGGACGUAUACGGUGUGACGCCUGCCCGGUGCCGGAAGGUUAAUUGAUGGGGUCAGCGCAAGCGAAGCUCUUGAUCGAAGCCCCGGUAAACGGCGGCCGUAACUAUAACGGUCCUAAGGUAGCGAAAUUCCUUGUCGGGUAAGUUCCGACCUGCACGAAUGGCGUAAUGAUGGCCAGGCUGUCUCCACCCGAGACUCAGUGAAAUUGAACUCGCUGUGAAGAUGCAGUGUACCCGCGGCAAGACGGAAAGACCCCGUGAACCUUUACUAUAGCUUGACACUGAACACUGGUCCUUGAUGUGUAGGAUAGGUGGGAGGCUUUGAAGUGUGGACGCCAGUCUGCAUGGAGCCGUCCUUGAAAUACCACCCUUUAAUGGCUGGUGUUCUAACGUGGGCCCGUAAUCCGGGUUGCGGACAGUGUCUGGUGGGUAGUUUGACUGGGGCGGUCUCCUCCUAAAGAGUAACGGAGGAGCACGAAGGUUGGCUAAUCCUGGUCGGACAUCAGGAGGUUAGUGCAAUGGCAUAAGCCAGCUUGACUGCGAGCGUGACGGCGCGAGCAGGUGCGAAAGCAGGUCAUAGUGAUCCGGUGGUUCUGAAUGGAAGGGCCAUCGCUCAACGGAUAAAAGGUACUCCGGGGAUAACAGGCUGAUACCGCCCAAGAGUUCAUAUCGACGGCGGUGUUUGGCACCUCGAUGUCGGCUCAUCACAUCCUGGGGCUGAAGUAGGUCCCAAGGGUAUGGCUGUUCGCCAUUUAAAGUGGUACGCGAGCUGGGUUUAGAACGUCGUGAGACAGUUCGGUCCCUAUCUGCCGUGGGCGCUGGAGAACUGAGGGGGGCUGCUCCUAGUACGAGAGGACCGGAGUGGACGCAUCACUGGUGUUCGGGUUGUCAUGCCAAUGGCACUGCCCGGUAGCUAAAUGCGGAAGAGAUAAGUGCUGAAAGCAUCUAAGCACGAAACUUGCCCCGAGAUGAGUUCU